rnacentral:lncRNA from 1 species
GUGGCAGACUACAGGCUACAUACUAUAUUGGCAGACUAUAUACUAUACUGGCAGACUACAGGCUACAUACUACACUGGCAGACUAUAUACUGUACUGGCAGACUACAGACUAUACUGGCAGACUGCAGGCUACAUACUAUACUGGCAGACUACAAGCUUCAUACUAUACUGGCAGACUACAGACUAUACUGGCAGACUAUAUACUAUACUGGCAGACUACAGGCUACAUACUAUAUUGGCAGACUAUAUACUAUACUGGCAGACUACAGGCUACAUACUAUAUUGGCAGACUAUAUACUAUACUGGCAGACUACAGGCUACAUACUAUAUUGGCAGACUAUAUACUAUACUGGCAGACUGCAGGCUACAUACUAUAUUGGCAGACUAUAUACUAUACUGGCAGACUACAGGCUACAUACUAUACCUGCAGACUACAUACUAUACUGGCAGAAUACAGUUUACAUACUAUACCGGCAGACUACAGACUACAUACUAUACUGGCAGACUUUAAGCUACAUACUAUACUGGCAGACUACAAGCUACAUAUUAUACUGGCAGACUGCAUACUGUACUGGCAGACUACAUACUAUACUGUAAGACUACAAACUAUUCUGGCAGACUACAGGCUA